AAGAAGUUUAGAGUGGCUUACAGAUGAUUCCCAAGUGGUCUCCCAUCCAAGAACUGCUCAGAGAGGGAUGGUGCCCUCAGAUGUGUAUGCAGAAAUCAAAAGGUUGCUCAACAAAUUAGUUUUUCUAGUUUGGCACACAGAUCUUAAGCAGCCCCUGGGAAGGUUGGAGAAAGAGUUCUUUCAAACCAGGACUGGUCCACUCAGGAGAUGAUGGUAUGAACUGGCCUGGACUCCUCAUUACAAGUAGUUCUUCAGAAACCAGCUACCUAGAAAUAGUCUAUUUCACAGUUUCUCAACGUUGGGUCCCCAGAUGUUAUUGGACUUCCAUAUUUUGUUCAACAUAUGUUGAGCUACAAAUGUAGUUAAUGAUAUUAAGCAAAUAUUUAUAUAACACAUUAAGCUUGCCAGCUGAUGCCCAGCUAGCAUCUUGUAAGUGAACCCUCCUAGUAUUCCAAUAAGGUAAGCCAGCAUUCUUACUACAAAGAUUAAGCAAUGCAGUAGACAGAUAAUGGCUUUGCUAAUUAAUCCAGGCCAUGUAUGUAUAGCUUUUUAACUGACAGGACGUGACUCCUGUUUGCAAAAUUCAAAUGGAAUGUUAAAUUUUCUGGAAUCUGAAAAAACAAUGGGUAUGUCGGAGCCAUUGCUUGAAAAGUCUCUCUGCAAUUCCUUGAAAUUUGCUUAAAGCAGCAGAAAGAAUUGUUUUCAGAUAUUAAAAGGAGGAGAGACAUUAAGGGUAUUAACAUGCACAGCCUAACACAGGCUAGGGCAGCCCAGCCUGGGUUAGGCUGUGUGUGUGAAGUGUUCGGAUCCGCAUGGAUUCUGGUGCUUCCCGGCCGCCUGACCCAGCUUUUUACUCUGGCCUUUUACCGAGGUUGAGGACGCAAGUGCACCCUUAACUGGGGUUGUGUGAACAGCCUCCCAUUAUCCCCCAAUGCACUGUGCUCAUUGUGCGGUGGAUUGUGGGAUAUGUGGAGGCCGGGAUGCAUUGUCCUGGCCUCCGGAGAUCUCCACUGUGUACAGCAGCGUGGAUCUUCUGGGAACACACUUCCCGGUUCCCAACAGUGUUGAAUAAUUAUCCGGAGGGAAGGUAAAAUUAGCACAGCCUUCCUCCCUCUCCCACCCUCCCUGCCUCCUGGUCGUGUGAAUACCCUUAACCUUAGAGAGCACCUUCUUCUGCAUGAUCCCCACCACAUGUUAAGGUCAUCUGAGGAGGUCCGUCUCCAUUACCCCAGGUAGGUCUGGUGGCGACUCAGGCGGGCCUUCUCUGUAGCUGCUUCUGGGCUGUGGAAUGCACUCCCAGUCGUAAUCUGUUGCUUGAGUUCAUUUUUGGACUUCAGAAGAGCCAGGUCUUCCAGAGUUUUAAAACUGUUUUAAAUGUUUUAAUUGUUAAUGGUUUUAAACUGUUUUAAAAAUGGUUUUGUAAUGAUUGUUUUUAAAUGACUGAUUCACAGAUAUUAUUUUUGCUGCUGUG